rnacentral:rRNA from 1 species
CAGCCGCCGCGGUAAAACGGAGGGUGCAAGCGUUAAUCGGAAUUACUGGGCGUAAAGCGCACGCAGGCGGUCUGUCAAGUCGGAUGUGAAAUCCCCGGGCUCAACCUGGGAACUGCAUCCGAAACUGGCAGGCUAGAGUCUUGUAGAGGGGGGUAGAAUUCCAGGUGUAGCGGUGAAAUGCGUAGAGAUCUGGAGGAAUACCGGUGGCGAAGGCGGCCCCCUGGACAAAGACUGACGCUCAGGUGCGAAAGCGUGGGGAGCAAACAGGAUUAGAUACCCCAGUAGUCCCUGUCUCUUAUAC